GACGAACGCUGGCGGCGUGCUUAACACAUGCAAGUCGAACGAUGAAGCUAGAGCUUGCUCUGGUGAAUUAGUGGCGAACGGGUGAGUAACACGUGAGUAACCUGCCCCGAACUCUGGGAUAACUGCUGGAAACGGUAGCUAAUACUGGAUACGACCUACGAAGGCAUCUUCUGUAGGUGGAAAGAAUUUCGGUUCGGGAUGGACUCGCGGCCUAUCAGCUUGUUGGUGAGGUAAUGGCUCACCAAGGCGACAACGGGUAGCCGGCCUGAGAGGGUGACCGGCCACACGGGGACUGAGAAACGGCCCAGACUCCUACGGGAGGCAGCAGUGGGGAAUAUUGCACAAUGGGCGCAAGCCUGAUGCAGCGACGCCGCGUGGGGGAUGACGGCCUUCGGGUUGUAAACCUCUUUCAGCACCGACGAAGCGCAAGUGACGGUAGGUGCAGAAGAAGGACCGGCCAACUACGUGCCAGCAGCCGCCGUAA
rnacentral:rRNA from 1 species